GCUGGCGGCGUGCCUAAUACAUGCAAGUAGAACGCUGAAGAGAGGAGCUUGCUCUUCUUGGAUGAGUUGCGAACGGGUGAGUAACGCGUAGGUAACCUGCCUUGUAGCGGGGGAUAACUAUUGGAAACGAUAGCUAAUACCGCAUAACAAUGGAUGACACAUGUCAUUUAUUUGAAAGGGGCAAUUGCUCCACUACAAGAUGGACCUGCGUUGUAUUAGCUAGUAGGUGAGGUAAUGGCUCACCUAGGCGACGAUACAUAGCCGACCUGAGAGGGUGAUCGGCCACACUGGGACUGAGACACGGCCCAGACUCCUACGGGAGGCAGCAGUAGGGAAUCUUCGGCAAUGGGGGCAACCCUGACCGAGCAACGCCGCGUGAGUGAAGAAGGUUUUCGGAUCGUAAAGCUCUGUUGUAAGUCAAGAACGGGUGUGAGAGUGGAAAGUUCACACUGUGACGGUAGCUUACCAGAAAGGGACGGCUAACUACGUGCCAGCAGCCGCGGUAAUACGUAGGUCCCGAGCGUUGUCCGGAUUUAUUGGGCGUAAAGCGAGCGCAGGCGGUUUGAUAAGUCUGAAGUUAAAGGCUGUGGCUCAACCAUAGUUCGCUUUGGAAACUGUCAAACUUGAGUGCAGAAGGGGAGAGUGGAAUUCCAUGUGUAGCGGUGAAAUGCGUAGAUAUAUGGAGGAACACCGGUGGCGAAAGCGGCUCUCUGGUCUGUAACUGACGCUGAGGCUCGAAAGCGUGGGGAGCGAACAGGAUUAGAUACCCUGGUAGUCCACGCCGUAAACGAUGAGUGCUAGGUGUUGGAUCCUUUCCGGGAUUCAGUGCCGCAGCUAACGCAUUAAGCACUCCGCCUGGGGAGUACGACCGCAAGGUUGAAACUCAAAGGAAUUGACGGGGGCCCGCACAAGCGGUGGAGCAUGUGGUUUAAUUCGAAGCAACGCGAAGAACCUUACCAGGUCUUGACAUCCCGAUGCUAUUUCUAGAGAUAGAAAGUUACUUCGGUACAUCGGUGACAGGUGGUGCAUGGUUGUCGUCAGCUCGUGUCGUGAGAUGUUGGGUUAAGUCCCGCAACGAGCGCAACCCCUAUUGUUAGUUGCCAUCAUUCAGUUGGGCACUCUAGCGAGACUGCCGGUAAUAAACCGGAGGAAGGUGGGGAUGACGUCAAAUCAUCAUGCCCCUUAUGACCUGGGCUACACACGUGCUACAAUGGUUGGUACAACGAGUUGCGAGUCGGUGACGGCGAGCUAAUCUCUUAAAGCCAAUCUCAGUUCGGAUUGUAGGCUGCAACUCGCCUACAUGAAGUCGGAAUCGCUAGUAAUCGCGGAUCAGCACGCCGCGGUGAAUACGUUCCCGGGCCUUGUACACACCGCCCGUCACACCACGAGAGUUUGUAACACCCGAAGUCGGUGAGGUAACCUUUUGGAGCCAGCCGCCUAAGGUGGGACAGAUGAUUGGGGUGAAGUC
rnacentral:rRNA from 1 species